GGAAGGAUCAUUAUUGAAUAAACUUGAACAAGCUGUUGCUGGCCCCUCUUGAAGGGAUAAGUGCACGCUUGUCAUCUUUAUUUUUCCAACUGUGCACAUAUUGUAGACUCUGGAUUUAGGAUUGCUGUUCAGCUUUGCCUUGCAUUUUUUCAGAUCUAUGUUAUUUUUCACAAUCUCUGAAUGUAUCAGAACGUUGAAUAUAUGUAUAUGUAUACAACUUUCAGCAAUGGAUCUCUUGGCUCUCGCAUCGAUGAAGAACGCAGCGAAAUGCGAUAAGUAAUGUGAAUUGCAGAAUUCAGUGAAUCAUCGAAUCUUUGAACGCAUCUUGCGCUCCUUGGUAUUCCGAGGAGCAUGCCUGUUUGAGUGUCAUUCAAGUUCUCAACUACAUCUUGAUAAUGGGGUGUGGCUUUGGAUGUGGGGAUUUGCAGGCUUUUUCAUUUUUCUUUGAAAAUGAAGUCUGCUUCCCUGAAAUGAAUUAGUGGUAUCUGAGCAGAGAUGACUACUACAGGUGUGAUAAAUUAUCUAUGCCUUGGUAUUCUGCAUAAACGGAUUGCACCGCUUCUUAACGAGUGGAGAAACACAUUUGAUGAAUUUGACCUCAAAUCAGGUAGGACUACCCGCUGAACUUAAGCAUAUCAAUAAGCGGAGGAAAAGAAACUAACAAGGAUUCCCCUAGUAACUG
rnacentral:misc_RNA from 1 species